AUUGAACGCUGGCGGAAUGCUUUACACAUGCAAGUCGAACGGCAACACGGACUUCGGUCUGGUGGCGAGUGGCGAACGGGUGAGUAAUGUAUCGGAACGUGCCCAGUCGUGGGGGAUAACGUAGUGAAAAUUACGCUAAUACCGCAUACGAUCUAUGGAUGAAAGCGGGGGAUCGCAAGACCUCGCGCGAUUGGAGCGGCCGAUAUCAGAUUAGGUAGUUGGUGGGGUAAAGGCCCACCAAGCCAACGAUCUGUAGCUGGUCUGAGAGGACGACCAGCCACACUGGAACUGAGACACGGUCCAGACUCCUACGGGAGGCAGCAGUGGGGAAUUUUGGACAAUGGGCGAAAGCCUGAUCCAGCCAUUCCGCGUGCAGGAUGAAGGCCCUCGGGUUGUAAACUGCUUUUGUACAGAGCGAAAAGGUUUCUACUAAUACUAGGAGCUCAUGACGGUACUGUAAGAAUAAGCACCGGCUAACUACGUGCCAGCAGCCGCCGUAA
rnacentral:rRNA from 1 species